GAUGAACGCUGGCGGCGUGCCUAAUACAUGCAAGUCGAGCGAACAGACGAGGAGCUUGCUCCUCUGACGUUAGCGGCGGACGGGUGAGUAACACGUGUAUAACCUCCCUAUAAGACUGGGAUCACUUCGGGACACCGGCGAUAAUACCGGAUAAUAUAUUGAACCGCGUGGUUCAAUAGUGAAAGACGGUUUUGCUGUCUCUUCUCGAUGCUUAUGCGCCGCAUUAGCUAGUUGGUAAGGUCACGGCUUAUCAAGGCGAGGAUGCGUAGCCGACCUGCGAGGGUGAGCGGCCGACCUGGGAGUGUGACAGGGUCCAGACUCCUAGAGGAGGCAGCAGUAGGGAAUCUUCCGGAAUGGGCGAAAGCCUGACGGAGCAACGCCGCGGGAGGGAGGAGGGUCGUCGGAUCGGAAAUCUCUGUUAUUGGGGAAGAACAAGCUUGUAAGUAACUUGGCACGUCUUGACGGUACCUAAGCAGAGAGGCACGGCUAACUUAGUG
rnacentral:rRNA from 1 species